rnacentral:rRNA from 1 species
UACGUAGGGUGCGAGCGUUGUCCGGAAUUACUGGGCGUAAAGAGCUCGUAGGUGGUUUGUCGCGUUGUCCGUGAAAACUCACAACUCAAUUGUGGGCGUGCGGGCGAUACGGGCAGACUGGAGUACUGCAGGGGAGACUGGAAUUCCUGGUGUAGCGGUGGAAUGCGCAGAUAUCAGGAGGAACACCGGUGGCGAAGGCGGGUCUCUGGGCAGUAACUGACGCUGAGGUGCGAAAGCUAGGGGAGCAAACAGG